rnacentral:misc_RNA from 1 species
GAAAUGCGAUAAGUAAUGUGAAUUGCAGAAUUCAGUGAAUCAUCGAAUCUUUGAACGCACCUUGCGCUCCUUGGUAUUCCUUGGAGCAUGCCUGUUUGAGUAUCAUGAAAUCUUCAAAGUAAAUCUUUUGUUAACUCAAUUGGUUUCUACUUUGGUAUUGGAGGUCUUUGCAGCUUCACACCUGCUCCUCUUUGUUCAUUAGCUGGAUCUCAGUGUUAUGCUUGGUUCCACUCGGCGUGAUAAGUUAUCUAUCACUGAGGACACUGUAAAAGGUGGCCAAGGUAAAUGCAGAUGAACCGCUUCUAAUAGUCCAUUGACUUGGACAAUACUUUUAUGAUCUGAUCUCAAAUCAGGUAGGACUACCCACUGAACUUAAGC